CCUACGGUAGGCAGCAGUGAGGAAUAUUGCGCAAUGGACGAAAGUCUGACGCAGCGACGCCGCGUGACUGAUGAAGUCUUUCGGGAUGUAAAGGUCUUUUGCAGGGGACGAAGGAAGUGACGGUACCCUGCGAAUAAGCUCCGGCUAACUACGUGCCAGCAGCCGCGGUAAUACGUAGGGAGCGAGCGUUGUCCGAAUUUACUGGGCGUAAAGCGCGCGUAGGCGGGUUAUUAAGUUGGGGGUGAAAUGCCGAGGCUUAACCUCGGAACUGCCUCCAAAACUGGUAGCCUUGAGGUAUGGAGAGGGAAGUGGAAUUCCAGGUGUAGCGGUGAAAAGCGUAGAUAUCUGGAGGAACACCCGUGGCGAAGGCGGCUUCCUGGCCAUAUCCUGACGCUGAGGUGCGAAAGCUAGGGGAGCGAACG
rnacentral:rRNA from 1 species